UACGUAGGUGGCAAGCGUUGUCCGGAUUUACUGGGCGUAAAGAGCGCGCAGGCGGUCGUUCAAGUCGCGUGUGAAAGCCCCCGGCUCAACUGGGGAGGGUCACGCGAUACUGAUCGACUCGAAGGCAGGAGAGGGUAGUGGAAUUCCCGGUGUAGUGGUGAAAUGCGUAGAUAUCGGGAGGAACACCAGUGGCGAAGGCGACUACCUGGCCUGUUCUGACGCUGAGGCGCGAAAGCUA
rnacentral:rRNA from 1 species